rnacentral:rRNA from 1 species
GAUGAACGCUGGCGGCGUGCCUAAUACAUGCAAGUCGAGCGAACGGACGAGAAGCUUGCUUCUCUGAUGUUAGCGGCGGACGGUGAGUAACACGUGGAUAACCUACCUAUAAGACUGGGAUAACUUCGGGAAACCGUAGCUAAUACCGGAUAAUAUUUUGAACCGCAUGGUUCAAAAGUGAAAGACGGUCUUGCUGUCACUUAUAGAUGGAUCCGCGCUGCAUUAGCUAGUUGGUAAGGUAACGGCUUACCAAGGCAACGAUGCAUAGCCGACCUGAGAGGGUGAUCGGCCACACUGGAACUGAGACACGGUCCAGACUCCUACGGGAGGCAGCAGUAGGGAAUCUUCCGCAAUGGGCGAAAGCCUGACGGAGCAACGCCGCGUGAGUGAUGAAGGUCUUCGGAUCGUAAAACUCUGUUAUUAGGGAAGAACAUAUGUGUAAGUAACUGUGCACAUCUUGACGGUACCUAAUCAGAAAGCCACGGCUAACUACGUG